rnacentral:rRNA from 1 species
UACGGAGGGUGCGAGCGUUGUCCGGAAUCACUGGGCGUAAAGGGCGCGUAGGCGGCGCGGGCAGUCAACGGUGAAAGCUUGGGGCUCAACCCCGAGUCGGCCGUCGAUACUCCCGCGCUCGAGCACUGUAGAGGCAGGUGGAAUUCCGGGUGUAGCGGUGGAAUGCGUAGAGAUCCGGAAGAACACCGGUGGCGAAGGCGGCCUGCUGGGCAGUAGCUGACGCUGAGGCGCGACAGCGUGGGGAGCAAACAGG